GACGAACGCUGGCGGCGUGCCUAAUACAUGCAAGUAGAACGCACAGUUUAUACCGUAGCUUGCUACACCAUAAACUGUGAGUUGCGAACGGGUGAGUAACGCGUAGGUAACCUGCCUGGUAGCGGGGGAUAACUAUUGGAAACGAUAGCUAAUACCGCAUAAUAUUGAUUAUUGCAUGAUAAUUGAUUGAAAGAUGCUAUUGCAUCACUACCAGAUGGACCUGCGUUGUAUUAGCUAGUAGGUGAGGUGACGGCUCACCUAGGCGACGAUACAUAGCCGACCUGAGAGGGUGAUCGGCCACACUGGGACUGAGACACGGCCCAGACUCCUACGGGAGGCAGCAGUAGGGAAUCUUCGGCAAUGGACGAAAGUCUGACCGAGCAACGCCGCGUGAGUGAAGAAGGUUUUCGGAUCGUAAAGCUCUGUUGUAAGAGAAGAACGGGUGUGAGAGUGGAAAGUUCACACUGUGACGGUAUCUUACCAGAAAGGGACGGCUAACUACGUG
rnacentral:rRNA from 1 species